UACGUAGGUGGCGAGCGUUGUCCGGAAUCACUGGGCGUAAAGGGCGCGUAGGCGGCUUGAUAAGCGUGCGGUGAAAGCCCGGGGCUCAACCCCGGGUCGGCCGUGCGAACUGUCGAGCUGGAGCACUGUAGAGGCAGGUGGAAUUCCGGGUGUAGCGGUGGAAUGCGUAGAGAUCCGGAAGAACACCGGUGGCGAAGGCGGCCUGCUGGGCAGUGGCUGACGCUGAGGCGCGACAGCGUGGGGAGCAAACAGG
rnacentral:rRNA from 1 species